GAUGAACGCUGGCGGCGUGCCUAAUACAUGCAAGUCGAGCGAACAGACGAGGAGCUUGCUCCUCUGACGUUAGCGGAGGACGGGUGAGUAACACGUGGAUAACCUACCUAUAAGACUGGGAUAACUUCGGGAAGCCGGAGCUAAUACCGGAUAAUAUAUUGAACCGCAUGGUUCAAUAGUGAAAGACGGUUUUGCUGUCACUUAUAGAUGGAUCCGCGCCGCAUUAGCUAGUUGGUAAGGAAACGGCUUACCAAGGCAACGAUGCGUAGCCGACCUGAGAGGGGGAUCGCCCACACUGGAACUGAGACACGGUCCAGGCUCCUACGGGAGGCAGCAGUAGGGAAUCUUCCGCAAUGGGCGAAAGCUUGACGGAGCAACGCCGCGUGAGUGAUGAAGGUCUUCGGAUCGUAAAACUCUGUUAUUAGGGAAGAACAAAUGUGUAAGUAACUAUGCACGUCUUGACGGUACCCAAUCAGAAAGCCACGGCUAACUACGUG
rnacentral:rRNA from 1 species